CAGGCGUCUAAGGUAGGGGCUCCCACUACAUUAUCUUACUGAUGAGUCCAGUAGUGGAAGCCGGGACGAAACGCCAA
rnacentral:hammerhead_ribozyme from 15 species